rnacentral:rRNA from 1 species
AGCAGCCGCGGUAAUUCCAGCUCCAAUAGCGUAUAUUAAAGUUGUUGCAGUUAAAAAGCUCGUAGUUGAAUUUCGGGAUCAAUAUGUUGGUCGUGCCUUGGUACGUACUGGCAUUAUCGAUUCCUACCUUCUGAAGAACCUCGAUGUCAUUAGUUUGGUGUCUUGGGGAAUCAGGACUGUUACUUUGAAAAAAUUAGAGUGUUUAAAGCAGGCUCGCGCUUGAAUACAUUAGCAUGGAAUAAUGAAAUAGGACGUUUGAUUCUAUUUUGUUGGUUUCUAGGAUCGACGUAAUGAUUAAUAGGGAUAGUUGGGGGCAUUAGUAUUCAAUUGUCAGAGGUGAAAUUCUUGGAUUUAUUGAAGACUAACUACUGCGAAAGCAUUUGCCAAGGAUGUUUUCAUUAAUCAAGAACGAAAGUUAGGGGAUCGAAGACGAUCAGAUACCGUCGUAGUCUUAACCAUAAACUAUGCCGACUAGGGAUCGGAUGAUGUUAAUUUUUUAAUGACUCAUUCGGCGCCUUACG